GAUGAAGAACGUAGCGAAAUGCGAUACGUAAUGUGAAUUGCAGAAUUCAGUGAAUCAUCGAAUCUUUGAACGCAUAUUGCGCUCUUUGGUAUUCCGAUGAGCAUGCUUGUUUGAGUAUCAGUAAACACCUCAAAGACUUCAAUUUGUUUUGAAUGGCUUUGGACUUGAGCAAUCCCAACACCAGUCUUUACGAUCGGUGGAGGGUUGCUUGAAAUGCAGGUGCAGCUGGACAUUCUCCUGAGCUAAAAGCAUAUUUAUUUAGUCCCGUCAAACGGAUUAUUACUUUUGCUGCAGCUAACAUAAAGGGAGUUUGACCGUAUUGGCUGACUGAUGCAGGAUUUCACAAGGGUCGGCAACGAUUCUUGUAAAACUCGAUCUCAAAUCAAGUAAGACUACCCGCUGAACUUAAGCAUAUCAAUAAGCGAGGA
rnacentral:misc_RNA from 1 species